GUUGUGAAACAUGGUGGGCAAUGAAGAAGUUGAAGGCAUUCUGGGAGAGCAUCUCCCGACCUGAGCACAAUUUUUCUUUGUGAUUGAGGGGAUCCCACACAGCAGAAGCAUGUGUUCCUUACUUCAAAGGCUAUACAAGUGUUGUCUCUGGAUUAAGGUUUUUGAUGCAUCAAGAACUCCAGGCAUUCAAUGCUACUGCAGGAGAAAAGGUGGCCUUUGAAAAAAAUCCAGGACUGCUACAAAGAGGAAGGAUUAAGAACCGUAUUUCUGGAACCCAAAAUUAUGGAAGCCAUGGUCUCCAGCCAAGAAUGCCAGGCAUUUUAUACUACUGAAAACAUAUUGAACAUUUUCGACCUUCUAGCUGGUUAAUUAGAAGAAUAGAUAUUAAUGUGUUUUGGGCAACCCAUCUUUGCAACAUGUGUGAUCCAAGUACUAUCUUGCUGUCCUCUUUCUCUCCUGAAGAUGAAUUCCUGAUCCUGUUUAUUCGUCAUUCAGUCUCUUAGACUGAUUCUAAUAAAGGCUUGCAGCUCU
rnacentral:lncRNA from 1 species